rnacentral:rRNA from 1 species
AAUGAACGCUGGCGGCAGGCCUAACACAUGCAAGUCGAGCGAGCGGCGGACGGGUGAGUAAUGUAUGGGGACUGCCCGAUAGAGGGGGAUAACUACUGGAAACGGUGGCUAAUACAGCAUAAUAUCGGAUAACACAUAUGGGAUUAGCUGGUAGGUAAAGUAACGGCUUACCUAGGCGACGAUCCCUAGCUGGGCUGAGAGGAUGCUCCGCCACACUGGGACUGAGACACGGCCCAGACUCCUACGGAGGCAGCAGUGGGGAAUAUUGCACAAUGGGCGCAAGCCUGCUGCAGCCAUGCCGUGUGUAUGAAGAAGGCCUUAGGGUUGUAAAGUACUUUCAGCGGGGAGGCGUUACCCGCAGAAGAAGCACCGGCUAACUCCGUGCCAGCAGCCGCGGUAAUAC